AUACCGAAGAAUGUUAUCACGGGAGACACACGGCGGGUGCUAACGUCCGUCGUGAAGAGGGAAACAACCCAGACCGCCAGCUAAGGUCCCAAAGUCAUGGUUAAGUGGGAAACGAUGUGGGAAGGCACAGACAGCCAGGAUGUUGGCUUAGAAGCAGCCAUCAUUUAAAGAAAGCGUAAUAGCUCACUGGUCGAGUCGGCCUGCGCGGAAGAUGUAACGGGGCUAAACCAUGCACCGAAGCUGCGGCAGCGACGCUUAUGCGUUGUUGGGUAGGGGAGCGUUCUGUAAGCCUGCGAAGGUGGCCUGUGAGGGUUGCUGGAGGUAUCAGAAGUGCGAAUGCUGACAUAAGUAACGAUAAAGCGGGUGAAAAGCCCGCUCGCCGGAAGACCAAGGGUUCCUGUCCAACGUUAAUCGGGGCAG
rnacentral:rRNA from 1 species